rnacentral:rRNA from 1 species
UGGGGAAUAUUGCACAAUGGGCGAAAGCCUGAUGCAGCGACGCCGCGUGAGGGAUGACGGCCUUCGGGUUGUAAACCUCUUUCAGUAGGGACGAAGCGCAAGUGACGGUACCUGCAGAAGAAGCACCGGCUAACUACGGGCCAGCAGCCGAGGUAAUACGUAGGGUGCGAGCGUUGUCCGGAAUUACUGGGCGUAAAGAGCUCGUAGGCGGUUUGUCACGUCGUCUGUGAAAUCCUAGGGCUUAACCCUGGACGUGCAGGCGAUACGGGCUGACUUGAGUACUACAGGGGAGGCUGGAAUUUCUGGUGUAGCGGUGGAAUGCACAGAUAUCAGGAAGAACACCGAUGGCGGAGGCAGGUCUCUGGGUAGUAACUGACGCUGAGGAGCGAAAGCAUGGGUAGCGAACAGG